GGAAAGUGUUUGAUAGAGGAACCUUUA
rnacentral:piRNA from 1 species